AUGCUUCAUAGAAAGAAUUUUUUCUUGCCUGGCUAUACUUGUGUGCUUUGUGGUCUGCAGGUCUUAGAAACCAGAGAUCAUUUGUUCUUCCAUUGCCCUUUUUAUAGAAUCUGUUGGACAUACUUAGCAGCCAACUGGGCUCCCACCUACCAAGGCAUUCAACAUGAGAUCAAUAACCUAAAGGAGAUGCUGGAUCUCCCCUUCUCCCUAGAGAUUAUCAUCCUUGCUGCUUGGGCAAUUUGGAUCACAAGAAAUGAAUUCAUAUUCAGCAAAAUAACACCCAGCCUUUAUAGAUGCCGAAAGACUUUCUAAGAAGAACUGAAAUGGCUAGUCCACAGAGCAACUAGAGAAGAAUAUGCAAACUUGGAGCAAUGGGCACAUGACUUCAAAUAA
rnacentral:rRNA from 1 species